UUUUUUAUCUUUUCAAAGCCAGAUUUAUUUGACAAAUUCCUUAGAAUUAACCAGGGGAAAUAGCAAUUCAACAUGACGUCAUCAGAAACCUUAUAUUUUUCAGAGUGAUGUUACACAGACAAGAAUUUAAGUGAAUGAAACAGCAUCACUUCUUAAAGUAGCAUGGAAUUUUUAUCACAGAAAUAAUCCAGCAGUUUCCAGAUUAUGAAUUUCACCAUGUUAAUGAGUUUUACAAGCA